rnacentral:rRNA from 1 species
GUCUACGGCCAUACCACCCUGAACGCGCCCGAACUCGUCUGAUCUCGGAAGCUAAGCAGGGUCAGGCCUGGUUAGUACUUGGAUGAGAGAAAAGACAGAACAUUGAAGCAC